UACAGAGGGUGCGAGCGUUGUUCGGAAUUACUGGGCGUAAAGCGCGCGCAGGCGGAUCCUGUAAGUCUGAAGUGAAAUCUCACUGCUCAACGGUGAGACUGCUCUGGAUACUGCGGAUCUUGAGACCGGUAGAGACUGGUAGAAUUGCAGGUGUAGCGGUGGAAUGCGUAGAGAUCUGCAAGAAUGCCCGUGGCGAAGGCGGCCAGUUGGGCCGGUUCUGACGCUGAGGCGCGAAAGCGUGGGGAGCAAACAGG
rnacentral:rRNA from 1 species